rnacentral:lncRNA from 1 species
GAAAUAUAAAAAUGGGAACACGUGUUACGCUUUUAAUAACAAAAGGAAAUUUUAAUAAAAACGAGCAAGGGUAAUCAAGAGGACAUUUUACGUCAUCUACCGGUCCCACACCUGUUUGUGACAUUUACAAUAUUAAAAGAACUCAAGUCCUUGGCUGAUGCAAGAAACCACAACGUUUCGUGAGAAGCCAUUAAUGAGGAUCAUGUCUUUAAAUUGACCUGUAUAACUUAGUUCGCGCUAGUUUGCCAAGAAUAUAAACAAAAGCUAAAAAAAUUUGUUACGAUUCUUUUCUUGAAUAUUUCUUUAGUCGCGUACAUUGUUAAGGAUUAUUUUAAUGAUAACAUUUUAAUGAUAAAAGAAAGCGCUAAUAAAAUAUAAAUAUAUAUCAUUACUAACAAUAUGCAAAGAAAGAAAAUUAAUCCACACAUCAAUAUAUAUCCGCAUAAAUUUUUGGUCAAGUAAUACUGAACUGAAGUUAUUACAUAUAUUGCAGUAAUUUCGUUCAGAGCCUAUUCAAUGGUAUUGGAAAAAUUUAGUUUUAUAAUACAGAAAUCACUAAGCGCAGAAAUAUUCGAAAGUGUAUUUAUAUUUGCUAGAAAACACGUAUUUUGGGCAAUACAGUUUUCCCACAAAUACGUACAAUUGAUAAAAAAUCUUAUCUCAAUCGAUGACCUUGCGAAUUAUGUUUGACGCUACGUGAUUUUUUUACGCGUAUAAAGAAUGUGAUAAUGCUUACAAUGAAACUUUUCUACUUUCUCUGCGUGGAUUAUAUUUUUUAUUAAUAAUAUACAUAAAAAAUAAUAUGAGUAUAAUAAAAAUAGUAUGUAUAAUACACAUAAUAAAGUGUGUAUAUACUCAUACAGUAAACUCAUAUAUAAGGCACAUUCGUAUAUUAUAUUAUUGAAAAACAGAAAUACUUGUGUUUUAUUUGUACAUUAAAAACUGUAUAAAAUUUAUGUACUGUUAGAAAAUCAAUUUUUUCAUGUGAUCUUAGUAUUUGAAAAAGUAUCGGCUAAUUUAAAUUUGAAUGCAACCUUAGUGAAUUUUAACUAACGAGGAUAAUAUCCUACACACGCAUUCGAACACAACCUAGCUUUCUGUAUGAUGCGUGAUGGAAAGUUUUCACUUUGAUAUGAUUUGCUGAAUGCGUUGCUAUUAAAAGUUGAAUGGACGAAUUCACAUAAUACCUAUAAAUAAUGGUCGAAUAUUUAAACAACUAAUAAUAUCACAUUCUAUUACUUCAUUUAUUUAAAAUUCAAUGUGAACACAGUUGCUAACGAUUAAGUUUUAUGAUAUGUUCGAAAUUUAAAAAUAACUAAGGGCUCGAAAUAGUGUAUAAUAAUUAAUGAUUAUUAGUCAUGUCCUAUUACGGCAUGUAGUGCAAACACAACAGAUACUGCACUAGCAAUUUUUUCUCUUUCAUUAGUCAUCUUGAUCUAUGAUCUUUUAUUUAUAUAUAUUGAUCUUACUUUUUUAUGAAGUUGAAAAGUUAAAGAAUUACUAUCAAGUUUUUGCUUAUUAAUGUUGUAUUGCAUUAUGUUAAUUUAUAAAAAAUAUAACAAGGAUUAUUUUUGUCAAAAUUAGUAAUUAUAUUUAAUUAAGUAAUUUAUAAAACACUCUACUUACUAAAGUUGAUCAAGCGAGAAUCUUUAAUUAUAAGAAUUACAUAAAAUUGAUCAAGACACUUUUGUAAAUCGAUAACGUAUAUAGUUAGAUGCCUGAGGAUACAGGAAGGACAGUGUAAGGUGUACUAAGUUUUAUGUAUAUUAACGAUACUUUUAUAUGAAAGUAUAUAAGUUGUUUAAUUAAUUUCUGCUUCUGUAGAAAAAAUUUUAAAACUUAUUUUUAUACAUAAUAUUAAAGUCUUACUUCGUCUAGUAUAUCACUUAACUGGACGAGUUAUAUGUAUAUACAUAUAUACACAUAGAUAGAUAUGACCUUAAUUAAUAUACAUAUAUGUAUAACUAGUUGAAGAUAAUGAAAAUAGCAUAAUCCUUAACACUUUUGCAUAGCCGUUAUGUAUACAACUGAUAAAAACUGUCUUUGCAUUUUUAAAUAAAUAUUUUUUCUCGGUCAACGCGCUUAUGCAUCACAGAUCACAGUCACACUUAGGUACUUGGUUCACGGACGGCAAAGAAAGCCUCAUUUUAUGACUUAUCAUCACUCCUCGUGCCUUCAAGUUCUUUCCUUUUAAGUACGCUUUUAUUAAUUCAAUUUACACGAUCACACUGUGGCACACAUCGGAAAAGACAUAUAGGAGCGUAUUCGUAUUCUUGCAAUUUUCACACUUCAAAGUCGACAUGUUCCCCGUCAAUUUUAUUAUUUGAUUGUGGAGUUAGGAAAAUCUUCUUGGGAGAAAUUUUUUCGCAGAGAAUAUCUAUUGUUAUCGUAAAAUAUUGUCUUUGAUUAUCCAUCAAAA